UUUUUAUAAAUGCUAUGGUUGAGGUGGCAACAACAGCGUUGCUGCUAUUGUGUGGCACGGAGAAAGCCGGAAGUGAAAAAAUAGCGUUUCAUUAAUUAUAUUAUAGCGUUCCAUCCAAAUUUCAAUUUAGGGCAGGAAUCUCUCUCCACUUCGCCGCCUUAAAAACAUACACGAACUCAAAAUUUUCUCCAAAUCAUUGGCGCACAGAUCUCCCUCUCUUUUCUUGCAAAUUGGUUUCGGCUUCUACUGGAUAGAUCAAGCAUUCAGUCGCAAGUUCAAUCGUGAGUUCUCCUUUCAUGAGCAAGGGCUUCAAUGUAAGUUCUUCCAUGAUUUGUUCUUUCUCCUCUCUUGUUAUGCGAUUUAGCUAAUACUCGGUUUAAAUGUACGAAACCCUUUUUCUGCUCGAUCCCUCGUUCCUCCACAGAAAGAAGCAAAUCGCCAUGACCUAUUGCACCAGUGAAGCAAAAAGCCGUCGAACGGAGAAGCCCUAACCAGAUGGACGAUGAUGAUGAAAGGAUAACCAAUGUUAGAGGAAGAUUGUGAGGUUGCAUUAGUUUGAUUUAUGUGCCUACCAAGGUGUACUAUGGUUCAUACCAAGAUGGGAGAGAGAACAAGUUUUUCAGGAAAUAGCUGAAGUUUGGCGAGCCUCCAAGUCAAGAUUAGCCUCGAAAAUAUGACACGCUACAGUUGAAAGCUACGACUCCAGCUAGAUAAUGUCAAAUCACUCCACGAUUGGAAGGAUUUUGUGAAGGAAAAGACUAGUAAAAAGUGUAAGCCUGCCAAGCUUGUGCAGCUAACAGCUAGCAGGUUCAGGCAGCAAGUAGAUUGUGUCGGUUGGAACUGCUUUGGUGAAGUUGGGUACAGAUUGUGCAGGUAUAGGUGUGCAGGUGGGCAUGUCACAUGUUGUGAGCAUCUCCAAAGAAUCUAUUCCAGCACUUCCAGCUGGAAGACUUGGUGUGUCGCUGUUUGGUACCAAAGGA